GAUGAACGCUGGCGGCGUGCUUAACACAUGCAAGUCGAACGAGAAAUGUAGACGGACACCUUCGGGCGGAAGCCUUCAUUUCGAGUGGCGGACGGGUGAGUAACGCGUGGGUAACCUGCCUCAUACAGGGGGAUAACAGUUGGAAACGACUGUUAAUACCGCAUAAGACCACAGCAUCGCAUGAUGCGGGGGUAAAAACUCCGGUGGUAUGAGAUGGACCCGCGUUGGAUUAGCCAGUUGGCGGGGUAACGGCCCACCAAAGCGACGAUCGAGACCCGAGCUGAGAGGCAGACCGGAGACAUUGGGACGAGGACACGGUCCAAACUCCUACGGGAGGCAGCAGAGGGGAAUAUUGCAAAAUGGGGGAAACGAUGAUGCAGCGACGCCGGGUGAGUGAAGAAGUACUUCGGUAUGUAAAGCGCUAUCAGCAGGGAAGAACAUGACGGUACCUGAGUAAGAAGCCCCGGCUAACUACGUG
rnacentral:rRNA from 1 species